GUAGGUGGCAAGCGUUGUCCGGAAUUAUUGGGCGUAAAGCGCGCGCAGGCGGUCCUUUAAGUCUGAUGUGAAAGCCCACGGCUCAACCGUGGAGGGUCAUUGGAAACUGGGGGACUUGAGUACAGAAGAGGAAAGCGGAAUUCCAAGUGUAGCGGUGGAAUGCGUAGAGAUUUGGAGGAACACCAGUGGCGAAGGCGGCUUUCUGGUCUGUAACUGACGCUGAGGCGCGAAAGCGUGGGGAGCAAACAGGGAUUAGAUACCCUGGUAGUCCACGCCGUAAACGAUGAGUGCUAAGUGUUAGGGGGUUUCCCGCCCCUUAGUGCUGCAGCUAACGCAUUAAGCACUCCGCCUGGGGAGUACGGCCGCAAGGCUG
rnacentral:rRNA from 1 species